rnacentral:rRNA from 1 species
AAGGGCGACCAUAGCGACGUGGAACCACCUGACUCCAUCCCGAACUCAGAAGUGAAACGCGUCAGCGCCGAUGGUAGUGUGGGGUUUCCCCAUGUGAGAGUAGGUCAUCGCCAGGC